GGCAGCGCCGAGCCCGCAAGGUUGGCAGCCGCGUUCUGCAUCCCCAUCCCCAUCCCCGGCAGUCCCGUUCCCGCUGUGCAAUCCUCGGCAGGGAUGGUACCCGCGGGCCCGGCAGCUUCUCCUUGGCAAAUGGCAGCACCCAAGCCAGGUUCUUGCUUCAGAACUUCCUCAGCUCCACACUCUGCUGCAGUUAUGAUCAGCAAGGCCUUGCUCUGCAGCUCCAGGGGAUGCACUUUGGAACUCACAGCUCCUAAAUCCAGGAGUCUCUGCUGGAAAUGUCCCAGGGACAGUCAGAUCUUGUUCCAUGUGAAUCCUCUCCCUCUCACCCUCCAUCUCCAGGGGCUUUUCCCACUGCCUGGCCACCUGUUAGCAGUGCUCCUGGAAGACAAUGGAAAGAUAGAUUUUAAAUUAACUCGAGCUGACUUUGUACCCUGCUUGCACAUUACCCACUGGAGCUUCUGCUGUGGUUAAAGUUUGCAGGAUUUUGCAUUUCAGUGAUGCCUGUCACAGGAGUGGGUGCUGGGGCCUCACCCUGUCAGCUCUCUGUCACAUCAACCCUUGCACCUAACAGGGGCAGGAUGAGCCUCUCUCUUUUCUUCUUGAUGCCAGCAUUUAGAGCUCCAGUCAAACCUAUCUUGGGAAAGGAGAUCUGCCAGUGGGAAAAACGAAAAAAAAUGGCAAAAUUCUUAUCUUUUUAAUUUUUUUAAAGCAUCCUUACCACAGAGCUAGGUUUGAUUUUGAGUGCUGUAUUUGUGGCUUUGUUUUCAACGCAGCUGGUAUUCAUUAAUUGAGGAUAGAAUAGAUCCAUUUUUCCCAAGCUGACUUUGCACAAACUAAACUCAACUUGGAGGGCCUUUUUGUUGAUUUAUUUUUACCUCCUCCUUCAUCUUGUUUUCAGCAGGGAUCAAAACAGACCCUGUUUUUCUGUCUCCCAGCCAGGCCUAGCAAACUCAACAGGAUACACUUAAACAUCAAAGCUGACAGUGAAUUCUCAUUUUAUUCCCGAGAGUAAUUCUAAAAACAGAAGGAAGCUGAGGGACAGUAAACAUUUGAUGAUUCAAUAGAGAGGAGAGACCAACCUUCACCAAACAGAUUGAUGAUCCCAAAUUGAAGGGCCUGCUGCAAGGGGCAGUCUGCAGGCAGAUGCUGAAGGUGUUUAUUUGCUGAUUUGUUCAGUAUUUUAAAUGAUUCAUUCCUGCUGUCAAGUGUUUUAUCCACUGCUGUAUUCCUGUACCAAUUCCCAUUCAGCCUCCUCCCAGCUGAAGCGUUUAUGGAAGUAAUUGCUGGCUGCUAAUCCUUGUGAGCACUUCUCAGUGUCUGCAACAAAAAUUGACAAAUUUUAGAGCAGGUUGAGAACCCUUUUUAUUUAAAUUCUGGUGGAGCCUUUGCUGUUGCAGUGAGGGAAAUUCCCUGGUGUCAGUUCAUGCUCUCACCGUGUCUCUGGUGCUCCUCAUCAGGAAUUCCUGCCUGUUCCUCUCAGCCUGUUGGGACACCCUGGCCAUUAAAAUGAUGUGCCCUAAAAAAGCAA